AAGAAUUCCCUAUAUGAUUGAUUUGAGCCAGUGACAUCUCUAACAUACUUUCGCCAUAGCCGGAUUCCGCAACGGAGCAAAGCGAUCAAAUAUUUGGUUGAGUGGACUAUAAAAAAUAUAUCUAAAGAUAUUGUCAUAUCGGUAAAUGCGUAAAAAUCGAACCAGUUGAAUUCUGAAAUAUAGUUAUUAAUUUUUUUUAAAAUCGGCUUUACGAAAACCUCGAAUUUUUUAUCAGCGUAAUUGUUCUUAGGUUUAGUACAUAGUCCUGUAUCGAUUACAAGAUCUAAUGUGGGAUGAUCUUCAGGGUAUAUGACAGGUGGAGCUCUGGAUAUGGAUACGGCGCCUGUAUCAGAGAGACCUAAAGAAUUCCAUAUAUGGUUAAAUUGAGCCAGUGACAUGUCUAACAUACCAGCACUAAAGUCAUGAGCGUUAAAGCUAAAAAGUUAUCACUUAUGGACCUUGCCACCUGGGGUAAGUUAAAGUCACCCAACACCACCAGCUGAUCCAUGUCCGAUAACAUUGAUAAUACAGACUGAAUGGCUGCUAGGUGCCACUUAUACGUCAAGGAAUAGGACUUAGGCGGAAUAUACGAUCAGGAACAAAGGACAUACAUGUGUUUAGGUGAGGGGCCAUUGUGCCGCCGCUCAUCCACGCGCAUCCGCGCCGAAGA